GAGUUUGACCCUGGCUCAGGACGAACGCUGGCGGCGUGCCUAAUACAUGCAAGUCGAGCGAGCUUGCCUAGAUGAUUUUAGUGCUUGCACUAAAUGAAACUAGAUACAAGCGAGCGGCGGACGGGUGAGUAACACGUGGGUAACCUGCCCAAGAGACUGGGAUAACACCUGGAAACAGAUGCUAAUACCGGAUAACAACACUAGACGCAUGUCUAGAGCUUGAAAGAUGGUUCUGCUAUCACUCUUGGAUGGACCUGCGGUGCAUUAGCUAGUUGGUAAGGUAACGGCUUACCAAGGCAAUGAUGCAUAGCCGAGUUGAGAGACUGAUCGGCCACAUUGGGACUGAGACACGGCCCAAACUCCUACGGGAGGCAGCAGUAGGGAAUCUUCCACAAUGGACGAAAGUCUGAUGGAGCAACGCCGCGUGAGUGAAGAAGGGUUUCGGCUCGUAAAGCUCUGUUGGUAGUGAAGAAAGAUAGAGGUAGUAACUGGCCUUUAUUUGACGGUAAUUACUUAGAAAGUCACGGCUAACUACGUGCCAGCAGCCGCGGUAAUACGUAGGUGGCAAGCGUUGUCCGGAUUUAUUGGGCGUAAAGCGAGUGCAGGCGGUUCAAUAAGUCUGAUGUGAAAGCCUUCGGCUCAACCGGAGAAUUGCAUCAGAAACUGUUGAACUUGAGUGCAGAAGAGGAGAGUGGAACUCCAUGUGUAGCGGUGAAAUGCGUA
rnacentral:rRNA from 1 species